UACACGCUGUGACUAGCAUAUCAAUAAGCGGAGGAAAAGAAACUAACAAGGAUUCCCCUAGUAACGGCGAGUGAAGCGGGAAGAGCUCAAAUUUGAAAUCUUAAAGGGUUUCCCUUUACGAAUUGUAGUUUAAAGAAGUGUUUUCUGUUGAGGUUUUGGUAAAAGUUCUUUGGAAUAGGACAUCAUAGAGGGUGAGAAUCCCGUAUUUGACCUUUACUUUCAACUUUGUGAUACACUUUCAAAGAGUCGAAUUGUUUGGGAAUGCAGUCCAAAAUGGGUGGUAGAUUUCAUCUAAAGCUAAAUAUUGGCGAGAGACCGAUAGCGAACAAGUACCGUGAGGGAAAGAUGAAAAGAACUUUGAAAAGAGAGUUAAACAGUACGUGAAAUUGUCAAAAGGGAGGCGUUUGACACCAGUGUUGUUUUUCUGAAAAUCAAUUAAAGAACUGUUUAUGCUAAGCUGUUUAGACUUUAUCAGCUAUCUGUUUAGUUUUGAGCUUUUCUUUAAUGCACUUUUCAGUUAACAAGUCAACAUCAAUUUCUUUUGCUGUAAAAAAGCUUGAGGAAGGUGGCUUGAGAUUCGUCUUAAGUGUUUAUAGCCUCUUGCCUAUGCAGUCGGAGAGAUUGAGGUCUGCAGCGUAGAUCCUUCGGGGCUAAAUGCAUUUGUGCUAAGUUAUAGCAUUUUAUAGACAACUUGUUGACUAUGAUUUGUCUUGUAGCUUACUCGCUUAUGUUAUUUUACCUACGCUUAGGAUGUUGAAGAUGUAGCACAUCAU
rnacentral:rRNA from 1 species